GAUGAAGAACGCAGCGAAAUGCGAUAAGUAGUGUGAAUUGCAGAAUUCAGUGAAUCAUCGAAUCUUUGAACGCACAUUGCGCCCCUUGGUAUUCCAUGGGGCAUGCCUGUUCGAGCGUCAUUUGUACCUUCAAGCUUUGCUUGGUGUUGGGUGUUUGUCUCGCCUUUGCGUGUAGACUCGCCUUAAAAUAAUUGGCAGCCGGCGUAUUGAUUUCGGAGCGCAGUACAUCUCGCGCUUUGCACUCAUAACGACAGCGUCCAAAAGUACAUUUUACACUCUUGACCUCGGAUAAGGUAGGGAUACCCGCUGAACUUAAGCAUAUCAAUAAGCGGAGGA
rnacentral:misc_RNA from 1 species